CUGACGGGCGCGUACGGGUCAAUUGCGGCUUGACAACACCCGAUCUCGCUUGUCGUCCCUCCGAAAAUGGAGUCGACGAGGGGGAGCGCGUAACAGUCAG
rnacentral:ncRNA from 1 species